CUACGGGUUGCUGCAGUCGAGAAUCUUCCGCAAUGGACGAAAGUCUGACGGAGCGACGCCGCGUGCGGGAUGAAGGCCUUCGGGUUGUAAACCGCUGUCAGUGGGGAGGAAAUGCAUCAGGGUUCUCCCUGGUGUUUGACCGAUCCGCAGAGGAAGCGCAGGCUAGAGUUCGUGCCAGCAGCCGCGGUAACACGAACUGCGCGAACGUUAUUCGGAAUCACUGGGCUUAAAGAGUUCGUAGGCGGCCUUUCAAGUCGGGUGUGAAAUCCCUCGGCUCAACCGAGGAAUUGCGCCUGAUACUGUUGGGCUUGAGGGGGAUAGGGGUGAGCGGAACUGAUGGUGGAGCGGUGAAAUGCGUUGAUAUCAUCAGGAACACCGGUGGCGAAGGCGGCUCACUGGAUCUCUUCUGACGCUGAGGAACGAAAGCUAGGGGAGCGAACGGGAUUAGAUACCCUGGUAGUC
rnacentral:rRNA from 1 species